GCAGCUCCUCCAGUAAGCUCUCCCUCUCUGGCUGGUGGGGUUUUCUGUGGUAAAUAUGCCUUCAGAAUAACCGGACGGAGCAAGGAUAUGCAGUCUCUGUUCGGUUCAGACAGAGGCACAAAAUGAGUGAGAGAGAAAAGAGUCUCUCAGUCUCUCCCCUGAAUCAGCUUUUUAAGUGUAAGGAACUAGUUUCCUUUCUAUGUUCCUUUCUUAGAUUGCUUCAGAUAUAUGCAUUUUUUUCCAUUUUAAUUUUAAUGAAAGUUUUAUAAUACACACCUGUGUACCAGAUCACUCAUUAUGGUGUUUGUUACAUGACAUAAUGUGAUGUUAUUUUUAUUAUAAUUUAUAUGGUUUUUGAUCUUAACUCUCACUGAUAGUUUUAUUCAAAAUUGACAAUAAAAUUAUAAUUAUUUCAUUCGGGAAAUUCUACUAUAAACAUCCCUUAUUGCAAACGCUCCUAAGUUAUGCCAUUUUCUGUUUUAGUUAUGAUUAAUUUUUUUGUUUAGUUUUGAUUUUAUUUUAAUUAUGACUCGUGUUGUUUGGUUAUAGCUUUUUUUUUUUUAGUUAUAACUCGUAAAGUAUGAAGGUAUGUUAUUUUCUUCUUUAGUUAUAAGGUGUAUAUGCACCAUAGUUUUUCUCAUUUCAUUAGAACGAAAAUAUUAUAUUUAAGUUCAACUAAAAAAUAACAUAAAAAUUAAAGAUUAUCAUUAAAUCUACAAAUAAAAUUUUAAAAAGCAAGAAAAUAUGAUUUUGUGGACACUUUUAUGUUGUAUGAAACAUGAUGUUACUUAGAGCUUUAAAAGUAUAAAAAUUUUAACCAAAUACCACUUAAAAAAAGUGCAUAUAAAUUCAUUUGGUUCAUAUACAACACUACAUUUUAACCAAAUACCACUGAGUUCAUAACAUAAAGCAAAAACAUCAAUGGAUCAUAACCAAACAUCACUAAUUUCAUAACUUUUCAGAACUCAUUUUGAUUUAAUAGUGGUGACAAUUGGAUGUGUUUUGGUAACUCAUUUUGAUUUAAUAGUGAUGACAUUCGAUAUAGAGUACUAAAAUCGUCAAACUGAAAUUUGGUGAAGUAAAAGCUUGGUGAGUGGCAGAGGGAUGGCACCCUUUGCAUUAUACAGAAAGAACUAAAACAAUAAGAAUUAAUACAAUUUUUGUGACCAUAGCAGGGGCCACAAGCCACCCUUAGGCCCCUGCGUUCACAGGUGGAUUUGGCAAGUGUGUCAUUCAAUAUAGAAUACUAAAAUGUACUAAAAUGGUCAAGCUGAAAUUUGGUAAUAGCUUGGUGAGUGGUGGAGUCGUAGAUCAAAGUGUCUCUUGAUUUGAGUAAAGAAAACAAGUUUGGGCAAGGUUGGAGAGAUUUUACUGAAAUUGGGAUUAUUAGAGUUAAGGCAAUAAAUGACAAAUUUAUUCGAGUUAAAUUCAUCAAAUGAAAAUUUUUUCGCUAUAGUCUUUAUAUUGUGGACUUAUUAUUCAUGAGUCAAAAAUAUGGUUGAAGAGUCUUUUUUGCCCAUGCUCCAUCCGUUCCCAUUCUCUCUCUAUCUCUCUCUUUCCUUGCCAAUUACCAACAGGUUUGUAGAGCAACAGGAUCACACAAAUCUCUCUACUGACACCUUUUUGUCUUGUUCUGUCUACUUCCACAAAUGGGGAGGAUGACAUGGUUUACUUCAGCAUUGAGUUCUUCAAGCAUAACCACUCCCAGGAUUGAUAUGCAUCAAUUACAUAUAAUACAUGUGCAUGGUAAUUCUGUUUAUGUGAUGUGAGGCCUAUGAUUUCUGUGCUAUCCAAUUGAUUUGUGCUAUAUAUUGGGCUCAUAUAGGUCUGAUCUGUCAACCUUCAAACACAUCUGAACCACACCGCAAAAAAAAAAAAACAUUGUUCUAUUAUUGAGGAUUUGAGUUUUGAACAUUUUCUGGCAGUCUUGCAGAUUUGAUUGUUGGGACUUUUCCCCCCCUAGUUUAGAUUGCUUAGUUGCUUGCCUUUUGUUAGUUCCUCUAGUUUAGGGUGAUUAGUCGGAGAAUGAGGAGGAAUGGUUAAAAAUGACUUUUUAGUUGUGUUCUUGACUGGAUUAUUAAUAUGUAUACUUGAGAAGAAAUUUUUUUAUUUAAUGAACUCAAGUGUAAGGACUGGAGAUGUUGUCUUUGCUCAAAUUAUGACUCAAGUUCAUAUUUGAUUAAGCGCACACUCCAAACCACUCUCUAGCCUCCAUUUUAUCUCAAACUCAUAGCAAAUUGAGUUUUUCAUUUUUUACCCAAAUGAAGGGAGAUCCUUUCGCAAACUCAAAUUCAAACUAUUUGGUGACAUGUAGCAUUAUUUAAUUAGCCAUUUGCAAGGAAUAGAUGAGAGUUUAAUUCUAAAAUUUAAGUUUAACAGUGAUAAUGUUGUAGAUGCCCUGAAAAUUUUGUUCAAAUUUUUACUCUAAUCUUAGUGAAGAAUUGAGUCGUGUUUGGAGAUAAGAGUAACUUGCUUGCUGAGGUACCAUCAACUCAUUUAUAUAUCUAGCCCUCUAGGUGAUACUUUCCUUGAAUUCUUUUAUUUCCAAGAGUACGCAAUGAAAGGGAAUAAUUUGUUGGUUAAUAUUAUGUUGUAAUCUUGUUAUCUUAUUGAUAAUGACUUGUUGAAAUCUGUCAUGUGUUAGGUAUUUGCAUUUAUUUGUCUGUCUAGCACACCAUUAGAUAGUUUUCUUGAAUUUUGGUUACCAGUGUUAUUAAAGGUGAUAGGCGCACCGAGGUGCCAAGGUCUCUUGGGACCUAGGUGCAAGGGCAAGACACAAGGCGAGGUACAGGCUUUACCGAAGUGAAGCGCACCUUGUACAAGAAAAUAAUGUAGAUAAGAAGAAACGUAGAGAAGAGAAGUGGAGAAAACAACAAUGUAGAGAAGAAGAGAAGAGAAAAGAAUGAGAGAAAUGUAAGAAGAAGAAGAUAGCAACGUGAAGAAGAAUUUUUGGAACUUCUAUAUUGGAUAACGAAAGCAGGCAGCAACAAAGUGUUCUGUGGAGAUUAGAAAUUAAGACUAAUUUUUCUUUUAUCGUUGAUUUGUGGCUGAAUGCCCACUGUAUUGGCAUGUGUACUUAAGAGUAUGGAUCUUUUAUAGUUGCAUCAUGUUUAAUCAAUGAUCAGAUUUUAAACAAAAUCAAUCAAAGCAACAAUUAAAAAAAAAAAAAAAAGCCCUCAAGGCGCAAGCCUUGAGCUUUUUUGCGCCUUGGCCUAGUCGCCCACCUUAAGUCCGAAUUAUCAAAGUUGCCUAGUCUGGAGCACUACAAGGUGAAAAUAUUGGGCUUGGAUGGGAUUUGGGCCUAGGCGCAUGCUUAGGUGCACAUUUAAUAACACUGUUGGUUACUAUUUCAGAGAUAAUGCAAUGAAAGAGAAGAAUUCUGCUGGUUAAA